rnacentral:sRNA from 1 species
UUAACAGCCCUGGAGACUGAAAUCCUUUCUGUAUCCACAGAACAGGUCCAGCUCCACACCACAAAUAUGGCUCAACCCUGCACUGGAGAGACUGCCUCUAAGGCUGAGGCAUUAGACCAGUUUCCAUAGGCAUUCAGCAUGUGGCCUGU